GUAAGCUACUAAGAGCGAAUGGUGGAUGCCUUGACUGGUAAAGGCGAUGAAGGACGUACUAGACUGCGAUAAGCUACGGGGAGCUGUCAAGAAGCUUUGAUCCGUAGAUUUCCGAAUGGGGCAACCCAAUGUAUAGAGAUAUACAUUACCUAUAUAGGAGCGAACGAGGGGAAUUGAAACAUCUUAGUACCCUCAGGAAAAGAAAUCAAUAGAGAUUGCGUCAGUAGCGGCGAGCGAAAGCGCAAGAGGGCAAACCCAGUGCUUGCACUGGGGGUUGUAGGACUGCAAUGUGCAAGAGGUAAGUUUAGCAGAACAUUCUGGAAAGUAUAACCAUAGAGGGUGAUAGUCCCGUAUGCGAAAAACAAACCUUAGCUAGCAGUAUCCUGAGUAGGGCGGGACACGAGGAAUCCUGUCUGAAUCCGGGUCGACCACGAUCCAACCCUAAAUACUAAUACCAGAUCGAUAGUGCACAAGUACCGUGAGGGAAAGGUGAAAAGAACUGAGGUGAUCAGAGUGAAAUAGAACCUGAAACCAUUUGCUUACAAUCAUUCAGAGCCCUAUGUAGCAAUACAGGGUGAUGGACUGCCUUUUGCAUAAUGAGCCUGCGAGUUGUGGUGUCUGGCAAGGUUAAGCAAACGCGAAGCCGUAGCGAAAGCGAGUCUGAAUAGGGCGCUUAGUCAGAUGCUGCAGACCCGAAACGAAGUGAUCUAUCCAUGAGCAAGUUGAAGCUAGUGUAAGAACUAGUGGAGGACUGAACCCAUAGGCGUUGAAAAGCCCCGGGAUGACUUGUGGAUAGGGGUGAAAGGCCAAUCAAACUUCGUGAUAGCUGGUUCUCUCCGAAAUAUAUUUAGGUAUAGCGUUGUGUCGUAAUAUAAGGGGGUAGAGCACUGAAUGGGCUAGGGCAUACACCAAUGUACCAAACCCUAUCAAACUCCGAAUACCUUAUAUGUAAUCACAGCAGUCAGGCGGCGAGUGAUAAAAUCCGUCGUCAAGAGGGAAACAACCCAGACUACCAGCUAAGGUCCCUAAAUCUUACUUAAGUGGAAAACGAUGUGAAGUUACUUAAACAACCAGGAGGUUGGCUUAGAAGCAGCCAUCCUUUAAAGAAAGCGUAAUAGCUCACUGGUCUAGUGAUUUUGCGCGGAAAAUAUAACGGGGCUAAAGUAAGUACCGAAGCUGUAGACUUGCACACAACUUAGAUUAUUUAAGUUUAGAAUAUGAGAAACUAAGUUAUAUGUUUAGUUAUAUUUUUACUGAUUUUUAUAGAGUAAAGAUAGAAAUAAAACUUAGUAAAAUCAGUAAAAAUAUUCUUAGACUAAAGUUAAGUAGUUUAAGUUGUGUGCAAGUGGUAGGAGAGCGUUCUAUUUGCGUCGAAGGUAUACCGGUAAGGAGUGCUGGAGCGAAUAGAAGUGAGCAUGCAGGCAUGAGUAGCGAUAAUUAAUGUGAGAAUCAUUAACGCCGUAAACCCAAGGUUUCCUACGCGAUGCUCGUCAUCGUAGGGUUAGUCGGGUCCUAAGUCGAGUCCGAAAGGGGUAGACGAUGGCAAAUUGGUUAAUAUUCCAAUACCAACAUUAGUGUGCGAUGGAAGGACGCUUAGGGCUAAGGGGGCUAGCGGAUGGAAGUGCUAGUCUAAGGUCGUAGGAGGUUGUACAGGCAAAUCCGUAUAACAAUACUCCGAGAACUGAAAGGCUUUUUGAAGUCUUCGGAUGGAUAGAAGAACCCCUGAUGCCGUCGAGCCAAGAAAAGUUUCUAAGUUUAGCUAAUGUUGCCCGUACCGUAAACCGACACAGGUGGGUGGGAUGAGUAUUCUAAGGCGCGUGGAAGAACUCUCUUUAAGGAACUCUGCAAAAUAGCACCGUAUCUUCGGUAUAAGGUGUGGUUAGCUUUGUAUUAGGAUUUACUCCGAAAGCAAGGAAACUUACAACAAAGAGUCCCUCCCGACUGUUUACCAAAAACACAGCACUCUGCUAACUCGUAAGAGGAUGUAUAGGGUGUGACGCCUGCCCGGUGCUCGAAGGUUAAUUGAUGGGGUUAGCAUUAGCGAAGCUCUUGAUCGAAGCCCGAGUAAACGGCGGCCGUAACUAUAACGGUCCUAAGGUAGCGAAAUUCCUUGUCGGUUAAAUACCGACCUGCAUGAAUGGCGUAACGAGAUGGGAGCUGUCUCAAAGAGGGAUCCAGUGAAAUUGUAGUGGAGGUGAAAAUUCCUCCUACCCGCGGCAAGACGGAAAGACCCCGUGGACCUUUACUACAGCUUGACACUGCUACUUGGAUAAGAAUGUGCAGGAUAGGUGGGAGGCUUUGAGUAUAUGACGCCAGUUGUAUAUGAGCCAUUGUUGAGAUACCACUCUUUCUUAUUUGGGUAGCUAACCAGCUUGAGUUAUCCUCAAGUGGGACAAUGUCUGGUGGGUAGUUUGACUGGGGCGGUCGCCUCCCAAAUAAUAACGGAGGCUUACAAAGGUUGGCUCAGAACGGUUGGAAAUCGUUCGUAGAGUAUAAAGGUAUAAGCCAGCUUAACUGCAAGACAUACAAGUCAAGCAGAGACGAAAGUCGGUCUUAGUGAUCCGGUGGUUCUGUGUGGAAGGGCCAUCGCUCAAAGGAUAAAAGGUACCCCGGGGAUAACAGGCUGAUCUCCCCCAAGAGCUCACAUCGACGGGGAGGUUUGGCACCUCGAUGUCGGCUCAUCGCAUCCUGGGGCUGGAGCAGGUCCCAAGGGUAUGGCUGUUCGCCAUUUAAAGCGGUACGCGAGCUGGGUUCAGAACGUCGUGAGACAGUUCGGUCCCUAUCUGCCGUGGGCGUAAGAAGAUUGAAGAGAUUUGACCCUAGUACGAGAGGACCGGGUUGAACAAACCACUGGUGUAGCUGUUGUUCUGCCAAGAGCAUCGCAGCGUAGCUAAGUUUGGAAAGGAUAAACGCUGAAAGCAUCUAAGCGUGAAGCCAACUCUAAGAUGAAUCUUCUCUAAGCUCUCUAGAAGACUACUAGUUUGAUAGGCUGGGUGUGUAAUGGAUGAAAGUCCUUUAGCUGACCAGUACUAAUAGAGCGUUUGGCUUAUCUUUA
rnacentral:rRNA from 1 species